UACGGAGGGAGCUAGCGUUGUUCGGAAUUACUGGGCGUAAAGCGCACGUAGGCGGCUUGUCACGUCGGGGGUGAAAGCCCGAGGCUCAACCUCGGAACUGCCUUCGAUACUGCGGGUCUCGAGUCCGGGAGAGGUGAGUGGAAUUCCUAGUGUAGAGGUGAAAUUCGUAGAUAUUAGGAAGAACACCAGUGGCGAAGGCGGCUCACUGGCCCGGUACUGACGCUGAGGUGCGAAAGCGUGGGGAGCAAACAGGG
rnacentral:rRNA from 1 species